AAGGGGGGAGUGGACGGGAAUUGUUCCAGUGUUCAAGUUGUAGAACGCCAUGUCAUUUUAUCGGAAUAGAUGUCUACAGAUUGAGCUGUCCAAGUAGCUAGCUUGUUGUCCGGUGAUCCAGCCGUAGAUUUUUCUUUCUUUUUUUUGAUAUACCAUUGUGUACGUGUCUUAGUUGAUAUCCAUCUGUUGUUUUUUUCUUUUUUACAUGGAUAAUGUGAUUUCUAUAAACUACUAAGGGAAAAAAUGAAAAUUAACGCCCGAAGGAUAGAUAAAUGGGCUCAUGCUCUCAUUUGGAUAUGUAUAUGCUUGACUUCGCUUUGAUUGGAUCUGUAUGUCAGAUGAAGUGCAAACUAUCAUCGUCCCAAUGCAGCAUUCACAACUCUCCUCGCAUUCUCACCACCUAGGUAAUCCCUUCCCUCCCUCCUUUCUCUAUCUUCCUCCUCGUCACCUAUCUCCAAUUCAAUGUCCAAACUCGCAGAAUAUGCUUUCAUAACCGUAUCCUCAUCAACCUUAACUCCCCCUUCUACAAGCACCCGAAUGCACCCGCAAAGCCUUGCAAUCUCCCUCCUCGUUGCAGGCCCGAUUUCAUCGUUCUGGCUCGAGUAAAUGGCACUACUGACCAUCUCCUCCAUGCGCGUAAUAGACACAUCUCCAGCAGCAGUACCACCUAGAUCCCCAUCUCCAACAUGUUUCGCAAUCCAUAUAUAUCCAUUAACACCCAAUAUAACAUCAAUCUCCCCCGCGCCAUGCGACGCAGUGAACGUCCACACUUGCCUCCGGGACCUG
rnacentral:sRNA from 2 species